rnacentral:rRNA from 1 species
UACGUAGGGUGCAAGCGUUAAUCGGAAUUACUGGGCGUAAAGCGUGCGCAGGCGGUUUGUAAGUCUGUCGUGAAAUCCCCGGGCUCAACCUGGGAAUUGCGAUGGAGACUGCAAGGCUAGAAUCUGGCAGAGGGGGGGUAGAAUUCCACGUGUGAGCAGUGAAAUGCGUAGAGAUGUGGAGGAACACCGAUGGCGAAGGCAGCCCCCUGGGUCAAGGAUUGACGCUCAUGCACGAAAGCGUGGG